UAGCUCCUUCCUGAAGGGACUGGGGGGCUGGCUGCCUCACUUGUUCCCCGUCCUCCAUCACUGUGCACCCUGGUUUUGGGUCCUCGGUGGGCGUUCUAAAUCUCUGGAAGCCUCGGGCUGAGGAGCAGAAGACGUUGUCCUCAGCUUCUAGGGAAUCUAGGUGGCAACGAGAGGCCACAGAGGCUGGUGUGGGCAGGAGGAAGAGACAGGACCUCCCAUCCUGGGCCUCAGUGCCACCUCCCCCCUCUCUAGAGUGGUUUCCCUGGGUCACAUUUGGUGCCCACAUCCUGGUCUAUUUUCUUAUAGGCGCUUCUUGUCCUCAGAAGUGACCUUGUAUAUUGACUGUCUCCUCUCUGAGACCAUGAGCUCCAGGAAGACAGGCCUGGCCUAUUUAUUCCCAGUCUAUCCUGCCUGUAGAGCAGCUUCAGGCACAGUUAAGCUUCAUAAAUGCAGAGUGCAUGUGUGAAUGUGUUUCUCAGCUACUCCAUGGCUCCUUCUGACCAGAGGCUUUGCACUGUCCCUCACAGGAAGCUCCCCCUACUGUGCGCUGCUCCACACCGCACCAAGGUUACAGCCUGCACAUCCUUUCUGCUCACAGUUUGCAUGGCACUCACCUCCUUUGGGAAGCCUGCCCUGCCCUGCUCCCCAAGCCCAGCACCUCCAUGGAGAGAGCUGCCUUGGCCCUCCCUAGUCCUCAGCCCUUUUGCCAACCUGCACUCUCGGUGAGCUCCUUCCCCACUAGCACAAGAUUGCCAGAGGGCAGGGUUUCUGCCUGUCUGUCUGCUUGUUCACCCUUGUUUCCCUUAGGGCCCUGCCUGGUGCACAGAGGGUGCUCAGCAAGGAUUGGGCUGACUCUUUGAGCUGGGUGGGGACAGAUUCCACAGUGAUCCUCCUGCCAGCAACCUCUCCCAUUGGCUAUGACCUCUGCAAGACUGCAGGAGGACUGGGGCACUGGAGAGCAUGUGCCUGUCUGAGCAGGGAACUGACACUCCGAUCCAGCUACCGGUGCUGCCAGAUCCUUCCAGACAAGGCAGGUGUCCUGUGACAAACUACCACAAACCAGGCAGCUUCUUGUCUCACAGCGCUGAAGGCCAGGAGCCUGGAGUCCACAUGCUGAGGGAAGGAUCUGCUCCAGCUUCUCUCCAUGGCUCGCAGAUGGCCAUCUUCAUGCUCACGUGGUACUCCCCCCGUAUGCGGGUCUCUGUGUCCAAAUUUCCCCUUUUUAUAAGGACACCAGUCCUUUCGGAUUAGAGUCCACCUAUGGGCUUCAUUUAAGCUUGAUUACCUCUGCAAAGACCCUAUCUCCAAAUCACGUCAUAAUCUGAGGUAUCUAGGGUUAGGGUUAGGACUUCAUCAUGUAAGUUUUGGGGGCACACAGUUCAACACAUAAUAGCUAUUUUUAGUAGCUGUUCCUAUUUUUAUGUAAAAUACCUUGAUUUUUAGGUGUUAACUCAAUUUUAUCUGAAACUGUUGUAGACCAAGCAAAACUCACCCCAGAGCAGAAUUAAGCCCCCAGGCCCACUUGCUUAAUGGUCCCUCAAGUAGGAGGUACCACUGGAUCCAACAAAGGGGCACUUGCUGCCCCCAGCCAGAGUGGGCAGCCUCACCCCAGUAGUCCUCAGAGUGUGGCCCCCAGGCCAGAGUGGGCAGCUUCACCCCAGUAGUCUUCAGAGUGUGGCCCCCAGGCCAGCAGCACCAGGACUGCCUGGGAACUUGUCAGAAAUGCAAUGUUCUAGGGCCCCAGCCCAGACCUGCUGUAUCAGGAACUCUGGUGGUCUGCAUUUUACCAGGUACUCCAGGUGGUCCUGGAGCACAGCCUCCCUCCCACCUUGCAGGACCACCUGGAGGACUCUCUAAAAUGAGAGGAGAGCUCUCGGGGUCAUGGAACAUAAGUAGCUUGGCCACCUCCCAGCUAUUUAUUGAGGAGGUCUGAGAGGCCUCCCAAUGCCCCUUUUCAGGGACUACAAUGCUAACCUUUUACAAUGACAAGGCAUUUGACAUUUCCAAACCCAUUUCACCCUCAUCCUUUGCUGAGCAGCUCAACAGCCAUUAACUGAGUACCACAGAGACACUUCUCUCCUUUUCUAGAUGAGGAGUGGGGUUUCAGAGUGGGGAGGAGAUGCCUCUGAGAGCCACAGCUAACAGAACGCCAAGCUCUCCACCUCACCUUCCUCUCCCCAGCCUCCAGUCUCAUUCAGGAAAACCUCUCCCUGAGGACAAGCCCCUCGUGGUUUCCAGGGUAGAAGGCAGAAGCUGGUGGUGUCUAGGACUGAUCUGGCUCCCAGUUGAGUUUAGUUUGGCCCACAGGAUGUUGACUUAAAAAAUCAAAUUCCUUUCAUCAGUUGCCAAUAGUUUAAAAAUCAGGGAAUUUCACACAAGUGAGGACUGCCACCUUCUCUUGAAAAGAAGCUCUGGCUGUGUUUGGCCUGCCUUUGGGUCUGGCAAGUCAUCUCCCAGAGCCAGACCCAGGCUUCCCCACUUCCUAUCAUACUUUGAGGCCCUUUAUUAUCACCUGAGCGCAGAUGUUUUCUUAUGGGCUAAGAAGAUAGUCAAAUGUAUCUCUGUUUCUACCAAAAGUGGGGAAAUCAGAAAUAUUGUAAGGAAUACAGUUUUCAGGCAGAAUGGGAGGGGACUUAAUUCCCUGCGGAGGUAAUCACUAUUCUCCUGUGUGUCUCCUGUGCAGUGUGUCCUUGUUGGGAGAAUAUACCUUAAAUGCCCCAGCGAAACCAAUCUCUCAGGCUCACUCAUUUACUGUACUUUUCUGGAAGGCCAGUGGUCUCAAACAUAAUGGUUUCAGGACCCCUUCCUAAUCUGCAAAGUUACUGAGAACUCCAAAAAGCUUUAGUUUAAGUGGAUUAUAUCUAACGUUGCUUAAUGUAUUAGAACUGAAACUGGGAAAUGUCUAAAGCACAAGGAACACAAUUUCCAUCAGAGCACUGAUGUCAUUACCUUCACAGAGCCUCAGAAGACUCUCCUGUACAUUCAUGAGAGAACAAGGCUGAAAAAGGCAUGUAACAUCUUAGUUUACUCCAUGUGGAGCCCUGGGAGGAGUCCUGGAGCCUUACUUUGAGGACUUUGCUAAGCAUUUGAAUGUGUUCCUGUUUCCAGAAGACUUCAAGGAGAGGAAACUUUGUUUAACUUUCAGCCCCAGCUGUUGCAGCAUAAAUUCUAUCGUUUGAAGUGGGGAAGAAAGGGAAGAACAGAAAACAGAUUUUCUUCACCAAGCCUCCUUGCAACCCCAGUACACACCAACCCUAUGCACCCCACUGAGUACUGGCCCUUGCAAGACAGGAGCCCCCACAAGUCUCUGGCAUAGGACUUGGGCAGGGACAAAGGGCAACAGACACUCUGGUUUGGAACAAAAUAUAGAACCAGCCAUUUUAUUCCAAGAUCAUUCAUAUUGAGUGCUGGAGGGUGGCAGGAAUAAAUAAGGGAGGGGAGGAUGGGGGUUACAGCUGGAAGGCUCUACGUCCUGCAGCACAUCCCACACUUUGAUUUAAUACAGCAGCCACAGCAGUACAUGCAGAUAGGGAAGUGGGUGUCUCGCCUCCUUAGCCUCCGGAGCAUG